GUUUAUGGUUCUGCUGUCUCCUGGUGUGACUUCUGACCCUCUGGGCAGCCUGGGAACAUUGGGGACCAGGCUCACAGGUCCCCUAGGUCCCCUGAGGCUUCCUGACCUCCUAUUUGGGGACCCAAGAUAGGCUGCCACAGAGCACCUCAGAGCCAGGCCUGAGGAAGCAGAGCCCCCCACAGUCCUCCCCACCCAAGUUCUCAUCUAUUGUUUUGCUGUGCUGCCCUGUGUUAACCUCUCUGGGCCUCAGUUUUUUCCAUCUGUAAAAAUGGGGUUAUAUUAAUGAGCCUCCAUUAAAUGCCUGGUAGUGGUCUUAACAUAAGUAUGCAGGGUGGCAGAUGGACAGAGAGGUUGAGUAAGUCAUCUAGCAUCACACAGCAUGACUGUCAGAGUUAGAAUCUGAACCCAGGUCUUCCAGUCCCAGGCAUCCUGACUUUUUGCUCCUUGCUCUGCUGAGGCACAACGAUGCUCCAAGAGGAGACAUCAGAUUGAUGAGUGUGAGGCCCUUGGCUGGGGCUGCACAAAGGACUAAGGAUUGCAGCCCGACACCCUCGAGGAGCAAAGCCAUGUGGGGACAAGCUACCUGGCUUUUUUGAGCUGUCUGCACAGGGUCCACAGGAUCUGGGUCGGAUGCCUUACCAGUUGAUACCAGUGCUUGACCAGACGGAUGAGGUUCCAGAGCUUGGGCGCACGAUACCUCAUGAAGUUCUGAUGGAGGUCGGUGAAGCAGAUGGAGAAAUCGCCCUCCUUCUCCAGGGUGGUGCACUCAUGGAUGAGUUGGGCGUAGACUUUGUUGUAGAAUUGGGGUUCAGCAUACGUGUUGUUUCUCAGUUCAUCUAUAAAGAAAGCAUCUCUCAUG
ensembl:antisense